GAAGAGGGCGUAAACGAUUUUGGUAUAAUAAAAAACGGAAGGCUCUUGGACUUUGUAUCGAGAUUAAAGUUGGUUAAUAUUAUACUACCAAAGGUCUAGUAUUGGUUAACUAUUGGCUUCGAAACUGGGAUUAAUUACCCCCCUAUAAAACCUUUAAUUUACAGGUUGCGUCGCAGACUAAACGUUAGCAUUAGUUAUGUGGAGAAACUGAAACUACAAUUUAGGAUAAAAAAUAAAGCUGUUCCCGCGUGCUGUGUACACAAUGGAGGAGGAAGGGGAAGCGCUCUGCAGAAGAAUGAUUUGUCGUGUGCGAAACAAACAGCAGCAGCCCUGCUUCUCUGAGGAGGAGAGGAGGAGACACAAAGGAGCCAGAAGAGGGGAGAAGACCGCCUGUGAGAGACAAGUUGUAUCCGGGCACGAGUCUAGAGAUCACAGAGAACGUAACCUCCCAGACUGUACAACACGACAGGGAGACCAAACCUCCCCCAAUUAUCUCAUGUGUCAAGGUCCCGAAAUCCAGACUGUCCCCCCUCAACUCAUCUCAAUGUUAAGGCUCAAAACUUUCAAGGAGGACAUGAGACGGGUCAGGCUGCAGAGGUGGAGCUCCAUGAUCCCGCUGUCUGCAAUGUGUGUGAGCAGGAACAGGCUUCUCUGGCCUUGAAAAGUUUUAUCUGGAGGAAGAAGACACAACUGCAGUUCCAAACACUGAAGGGCAGACUAAACACACACUUGAGCUAUGGCGAGUGUGCGAAAUCUCCCAAAGCCCUUCAAUGCCCCUCUCUGGAUUUUGGGAGGAACUACUUGGUGGAGAUGUGCGGGUCACAGCAACCUGGGGUUGCCUUAGCAACGGCUAAGGAACGCGGAGUUGCCCUGGCAACAGAUGAAAUGAGGGGUUACCCUGACAAAAACGCUGCAGAAAGUCAUUUAGCGAGACCUGGCUGUGCUUUUUCAGACAGAUAGCUGCAGACAUGAUGGGCACAGUGUUAAUACAAUGAAAGGGACAAUGUUGUGGUGGAGUCAAACAUAUUCCUAUCUCUUUAUUAUGACACACAGAAUAAACCCACACAUUUUCCCAAUAAACACUAAUCCAUAUGCUGAUGGUGGCAUCCUUGGCAACCCUGUUCAGCUACAGCUGUGUUUAUGUUCACACCGUUUAAUACCAGAAACAAAUGUCUAGCCUUUGUUUUGAGUGUAAAAAAAAAAAAGGACAUGCUAACAAGGUUAGUACAAAACAGCCAUUUAUUUUCUUAUCAUAGUAUUAAA